UUUAAAAUGGCUAAAUAAAUCUACUUUUAGCAGUGCAGACCUCCAGAAUAAGCAGAGUCCUCCAAUAAUUCUGUGUUUUGUGUCACUGAACUGUAAAGCAACAUAAGGAGAGAGGCUGAGACUGCAAUUUGAACCUUUGCACAAUAUUGAAUUUGUGUCGACACAGAAGGAGCACAAGCGUGGCUGAAAAGAAGUAAAGGCAUCUGAGGCACUGAGAGGCAUCAAGCUCUACUUUGGCUGAAAUCGGCCGAUCCAGGAUGACCUCGACUCGCUGCAAGCGGGAUUACAUUUCUGUGGAGAAGAGUUGCUGUUCGAACUGAGCAGUCCGUGAAGACCUGAUGUCAAAAUACGGAAAAACAGUAAGAGGCUGAAACACACGACUUAUCAAGACUGAGGCUCCACCCAUACAUCAGUCAGGACACAUUGCUACGAGUAUCUACCUGGGUCCUACUUACUCACGAGCAGAUGGUUCCCUCAUCAAAGAUCCAAAGCCUCCAGCCACACCACAACCCAAGCCACGCCACGUCUCAACUCAAGUCUCGGUCCCUCUCCACGCCUCGACCACGAAUCCAGGCCACGUCACCCACAGCCACUUCGCCAGAAUCAUCACCCAAUCGUAUAUUCACCAACUAUACUCACUCACUGGUCCUCGACCGUAAUAAUAAACCCGUUAAUUCUUCAUCUCAUUCUCCUGUGGUCCUUUGGGUUCCAGCAUCUGGGUCUGCUCAGCCUAGCUGAUCAUGACAGGAAUAACACAAAGCUAAAGCAGCAAAUGCAACUGUGCUUGUUCUCUUAUAGCCUUUAAAACGUGGGUGCAAAUGGCAAGUGGCGUUCAAGUAUUAAGGGAACAACAAGGGCUGUAACAGCAUGUUUACAAUGGUGCUGUGAAGAUGCAGCAUUUGGCCGAGGCCUGACAUCGUCUCUGAACUUGAUGAAUAAUCCUCUAAAUGUGAUGUUCCUGCUUUGUCCUCACCUUCAGCUUCAUCCAUUUAUCCCCUCUUAUGGGAAAUGGCUUCUCUACACUCUAGCCAUAUUCAGUGGCAUCAAGAGAGUGAGAGCACUACACUACACAAGUUCCCCAUUCCCAUCUCUGUCUCCUUUAGUGAAAAUGAACAACAACCCCGAAAACAUAUACUGUAGCGCAGCAUAUUCUUCUUCCAGCUGAAAGGCCUUGUCUCCCUUUUAGCCCUGGGGUGCUCUGCUCUCAUUGUCUGACAAAGUGAUUAAUUUGAGAGAACUUCACUUUGCAAACAUCCUAAGUUUAGGCCUGUUCCCCGUGCAGCUGGUGCCAGAGUUUUCCCGAGAAAAGGCUCUGGUCGGAGCUGAGCUGAUAUCCUUUGUGAAAAUACAAGGAAAUUCCUUGUCAGAACCACACAGCAAAAAA